rnacentral:rRNA from 1 species
CUACGGAGGGUGCGAGUGUUAAUCGGAAUUACUGGGCGUAAAGCGUACGUAGGCGGUUGGUUAAGUUAGAUGUGAAAGCCCCGGGCUUAACCUGGGAACUGCAUUUAAAACUGACGAACUAGAGUUGAGUAGAGGGGAGUGGAAUUUCAGGUGUAGCGGUGAAAUGCGUAGAGAUCUGAAGGAACACCAGUGGCGAAGGCGACUCCCUGGACUCGAACUGACGCUGAGGUACGAAAGCGUGGGUAGCAAACGGGAUUAGAAACCCCAGUAGUCC